UGGAGUACGUGAUUUGCCAAUUAAAAUCAAAAUGAAAAGCUUUCAUUUUCUCCUACACAAAAUUAGCGAAAACUCAAAUCUGGCAUAUAGCACUAUAGCAGUAAUAGCACUGCUCAUUUACUAACAUCCUCCCAUUUUUCCAUUUUCCAUUUUCCAUUGACGUGUACUUUGAAUCCUCCAUUGAUACGACUUCUGCGCUUUCUCUCCAUUGAAGCAGCUUCUGAAUGAAGUUCCUGGAUUGGUAUGUGAAGAUUGCAGUGGGUUCUGCUAUGAUUGGAGCUUCCAUGGAGUAUUUCAUGAUUAAAACUGGAUUCUAUGACAAGGUAACAGUUCUGGAAUCAGAAAAGCGGGCUUGGGAGAAUUCACCAGAAGCUCAGGCUGCUAGAGAGGCUCUAAAUCCUUGGAGACAUAUUGAUGCCAAAGAAAAUAAAAAUUAAUAACUUGUUUGUAGGUUACCGUUUGAUUUACACAAUAUGGUGUUAUGUAUUUGUUUGAUGACUUAUUAUUGUCAAACACAAAUUCAUUAUGAAAGUACUGAUUUUAUUUGACGUCUC